rnacentral:rRNA from 1 species
GACCAGACUCCUACGGGAGGCAGCAGUGGGGGAUAUUGCACAAUGGGGGGAACCCUGAUGCAGCGACGCCGCGUGGGUGAAGGAGUGCUUCGGCAUGUAAAGCCCUAUCGGCAGGGAAGAAGCAAGACGGUACCUGACUAGGAAGCCCCGGCUAACUACGUGCCAGCAGCCGCGGUAAUACGUAGGGGGCGAGCGUUAUCCGGAUUCACUGGGUGUAAAGGGAGCGUAGACGGCCAGGCAAGCCAGGGGUGAAAGCCCGGGGCCCAACCCCGGGACUGCCCUUGGAACUGCAUGGCUGGAGUGCGGGAGGGGCAGGCGGAAUUCCUGGUGUAGCGGUGAAAUGCGUAGAUAUCAGGAGGAACACCGGCGGCGAAGGCGGCCUGCUGGACAUUAACUGACGCUGAGGCACGAAGGCCAGGGGAGCGAAAGGGAUUAGAUACCCGCGUA